AGUGAACGCUGGCGGUAGGCCUAACACAUGCAAGUCGAACGGCAGCACAGUAAGAGCUUGCUCUUACGGGUGGCGAGUGGCGGACGGGUGAGGAAUACAUCGGAAUCUACUUUUUCGUGGGGGAUAACGUAGGGAAACUUACGCUAAUACCGCAUACGACCUACGGGUGAAAGCAGGGGAUCUUCGGACCUUGCGCGAUUGAAUGAGCCGAUUUCGGAUUAGCUAGUUGGCGGGGUAAAGGCCCACCAAGGCGACGAUCCGUAGCUGGUCUGAGAGGAUGAUCAGCCACACUGGAACUGAGACACGGUCCAGACUCCUACGGGAGGCAGCAGCGGGGAAUAUUGGACAAUGGGCGCAAGCCUGAUCCAGCCAUACCGCGUGGGUGAAGAAGGCCUUCGGGUUGUAAAGCCCUUUUGUUGGGAAAGAAAAGCAGCAGGUUAAUACCCCGCUGUUCUGACGGUACCCAAAGAAUAAGCACCGGCUAACUUCGUG
rnacentral:rRNA from 1 species